UUUAGAAUUUGUACGCUUUGUUGUAAUUUUUUUAAAAAUCACAAAGCAUAUGGAUUCUUGAGC
rnacentral:pre_miRNA from 1 species